CUGCACUUCCCAGGCUGAAAAAAAGAUCAGUUGAAGGAGUUCCUGGCAGAGAGGAUUCUACAAUGAAAGACAAGUAGUUCAAGCCAAAGGCUUUUCAAGGCUUGCAACUUGGCUGAUGAUUGUCCAGUUAUUGACUAUCCCUGGUUACGUCUACACUAGAACCAGGGCCUAAGUAAUUGCCAAAUUGAAUUAUUGGCCAAGCUAAUAGAAGGAAAUCAUCAUCAUCAUCAUCAUCAUCAUCAUCAUCAUCAUCAUCAUCA